rnacentral:rRNA from 1 species
GACGAACGCUGGCAGCGUGCUUAACACAUGCAAGUCGAACGGAAAGGCCCUGCUUUUGUGGGGUGCUCGAGUGGCGAACGGGUGAGUAACACGUGAGUAACCUGCCCUUGACUUUGGGAUAACUUCAGGAAACUGGGGCUAAUACCGGAUAGGAGCUCCUGCUGCAUGGUGGGGGUUGGAAAGUUUCGGCGGUUGGGGAUGGACUCGCGGCUGAUCAGCUUGUUGGUGGGGUAGUGGCUUACCAAGGCUUUGACGGGUAGCCGGCCUGAGAGGGUGACCGGCCAAAUUGGGACUGAGAUACGGCCCAGACUGCUACGGGAGGCAGCAGUGGGGAAUAUUGCACAAUGGGCGGAAGCCUGGUGCAGCAACGCCGCGUGCGGGAUGACGGCCUUCGGGUUGUAAACCGCUUUCGCCUGUGACGAAGCGUGAGUGACGGUAAUGGGUAAAGAAGCACCGGCUAACUACGUG